rnacentral:rRNA from 1 species
AGUGAACGCUGGCGGUAGGCCCAACACAUGCAAGUCGAACGGCAGCACAGUAAGAGCUUGCUCUUACGGGUGGCGAGUGGCGGACGGGUGAGGAAUACAUCGGAAUCUACUUUUUCGUGGGGGAUAACGUAGGGAAACUUACGCUAAUACCGCAUACGACCUACGGGUGAAAGCAGGGGAUCUUCGGACCUUGCGCGAUUGAAUGAGCCGAUGUCGGAUUAGCUAGUUGGCGGGGUAAAGGCCCACCAAGGCGACGAUCCGUAGCUGGUCUGAGAGGAUGAUCAGCCACACUGGAACUGAGACACGGUCCAGACUCCUACGGGAGGCAGCAGUGGGGAAUAUUGGACAAUGAGCGCAAGCCUGAUCCAGCCAUACCGCGUGGGUGAAGAAGGCCUUCGGGUUGUAAAGCCCUUUUGUUGGGAAAGAAAAGCAGCAGGUUAAUACCCCGCUGUUCUGACGGUACCCAAAGAAUAAGCACCGGCUAACUUCGUG